AUCGUUUACCUUUUUCCCCGAAAGAGACAAUGUCACGCCCUAACCCUAGGAACCCCCUAGGUCGGGCCUGUGCUCUAGGAGAUCUUCCCUCACACAACCAACACACAUGUCUUUUAAAUGACUUCCCGGUCGGUCACCCAUCCCAAGAUUGCUCUAGGCCAAGCACACUUAACCUUGGAGUUCUUUUGAGAUAAGCUUCCGGAAAAG
rnacentral:lncRNA from 1 species